rnacentral:rRNA from 1 species
UACGAAGGGGGCUAGCGUUGCUCGGAAUUACUGGGCGUAAAGCGCACGUAGGCGGCUUUCUAAGUCGGGGGUGAAAUCCUGGAGCUCAACUCCAGAACUGCCUUCGAUACUGGAGAGCUUGAGUCCGGGAGAGGUGAGUGGAACUGCGAGUGUAGAGGUGAAAUUCGUAGAGUAUUCGCAAGAACACCAGUGGCGAAGGCGGCUCACUGGCC